GAGUGGGAACAUAACGAUACUAAUGCAUCGGGUCCCAUUAAAACUCCGAAUUUAAGCGUACUUGGACGAAGAUAGUACUAUGAUGGGUGACCUCUUGAAAAAUCUUCAUGUUGCACCCU
rnacentral:rRNA from 1 species